rnacentral:rRNA from 1 species
GUGGGGAAUCUUCCGCAAUGGACGAAAGUCUGACGGAGCAACGCCGCGUGAGUGAAGAAGGUUUUCGGAUCGUAAAGCUCUUUCGUUAGGGACGAACGUGCUCUUUGUGAAUAAUGAGGAGUAAUGACGGUACCUAAAUAAGAAGCCACGGCUAACUACGUGCCAGCAGCCGCGGUAAUACGUAGGUGGCAAGCGUUGUCCGGAAUUAUUGGGCGUAAAGCGCGCGCAGGCGGGAUAUCAAGUCUGUCUUAAAAGUGCGAGGCUCAACCUCGUGAGGGGACAGAAACUGGUAUUCUUGAGUGUCGGAGAGGAAAGUGGAAUUCCAAGUGUAGCGGUGAAAUGCGUAGAGAUUUGGAAGAACACCAGUGACGAAGGCGACUUUCUGGACGAAAACUGACGCUGAGGCGCGAAAGCCAGGGGAGCGAACGGGAUUAGAUACCCCGGUAGUCC